rnacentral:rRNA from 1 species
UGGGGAAUAUUGGACAAUGGGCGAAAGCCUGAUCCAGCCAUGCCGCGUGUGUGAAGAAGGUCUUCGGAUUGUAAAGCACUUUAAGUUGGGAGGAAGGGCAGUAAGCGAAUACCUUGCUGUUUUGACGUUACCGACAGAAUAAGCACCGGCUAACUCUGUGCCAGCAGCCGCGGUAAUACAGUGGGUGCAAGCGUUAAUCGGAAUUACUGGGCGUAAAGCGCGCGUAGGUGGUUCGUUAAGUUGAAUGUGAAAGCCCCGGGCUCAACCUGGGAACGGCAUCCAAAACUGGCGAGCUAGAGUAGGGCAGAGGGUGGUGGAAUUUCCUGUGUAGCGGUGAAAUGCGUAGAUAUAGGAAGGAACACCAGUGGCGAAGGCGACCACCUGGGCUCAUACUGACACUGAGGUGCGAAAGAGUGGGGAGCAAACAGG